rnacentral:rRNA from 1 species
AGCGAACGCUGGCGGUAUGCUUAACACAUGCAAGUCGAGCGCGAAAGUGACUUCGGUCAUAAGUAGAGCGGCGGACGGGUGAGUAACACGUGGAUAAUCUGCCUUUAGGACUGGGAUAACCCUGGGAAACUAGGGCUAAUACCGGAUAAGACCACAGGUUCCAUGGAACCAGGGGUAAAGGACGGCCUUCGGCUGUCGCCGAAAGAUGAGUCCGCGUCCCAUCAGGUAGUUGGUGAGGUAACGGCUCACCAAG